rnacentral:miRNA from 1 species
CCUUCCAAUGGACGAGGUACAUGUACCUUGUCCAGCGGAAGGGUUUCCUUCCAAUGGACGGGGUACAUGUACCUCGUCCCAGCGGAAGG